rnacentral:rRNA from 1 species
CAAGGARGCAGCAGGCGCGCAAAUUACCCCACUCCCAGAACGGGGAGGUAGUGACGAAAAAUAACAAUACGGGACUCUUUUGAGACCCCGUAAUUGGAAUGAGUACACUCUAAAUCCUUUAACGAGGAUCCAUUGGAGAGCAAGUCUUGUGCCAGCAGUCGCGGUAAUUCAAGCUCCAAUAGCGUAUAUUAAAGUUGUUGCGGUUAAAAAGCUCGUAGUUGGAUCUCAGAUCCGGCCGGACGGUCCGCCUACCGGUGGUUACUGUUCGUGUCGAUCGUUCAGGCGGUUAUUCUUGAUGAUCUUCACCGGUUGUCUCGGGUGACCGCCAAGUUUACUUUGAAAAAAUUAGAGUGCUCAAAGCAGGCGUGACGCCUGAAUAAUUGUGCAUGGAAUAAUGGAAUAGGACCUCGGUUCUAUUUUGUUGGUUUUCGGAACACGAGGUAAUGAUUAAGAGGGACAGACGGGGGCAUUCGUAUUGCGACGCUAGAGGUGAAAUUCUUGGACCGUCGCAAGACGAACUACUGCGAAAGCAUUUGCCAAGAAUGUUUCCAUUAAUCAAGAACGAAAGUUAGAGGUUCGAAGGCGAUCAGAUACCGCCCUAGUUCUAACCAUAAACGAUGCCAGCCAGCGAUCCGGCUGUGUUCCUCAAAUGACACGCCGGGCAGCUUCCGGGAAACCAAAGCUUUUGGGUUCCGGGGGAAGUAUG